AACGAACGCUGGCGGCAGGCCUAACACAUGCAAGUCGAGCGCGCCCUUCGGGGUGAGCGGCGGACGGGUGAGUAACGCGUGGGAACGUGCCCUUUUCUACGGAAUAGCCUCGGGAAACUGAGAGUAAUACCGUAUACGCUCUUUGGGGGAAAGAUUUAUCGGACAAGGAUCGGCCCGCGUUGGAUUAGGUAGUUGGUGGGGUAAUGGCCUACCAAGCCGACGAUCCAUAGCUGGUUUGAGAGGAUGAUCAGCCACACUGGGACUGAGACACGGCCCAGACUCCUACGGGAGGCAGCAGUGGGGAAUCUUAGACAAUGGGGGCAACCCUGAUCUAGCCAUGCCGCGUGAGUGAUGAAGGCCUUAGGGUUGUAAAGCUCUUUCAGCUGGGAAGAUAAUGACGGUACCAGCAGAAGAAGCCCCGGCUAACUCCGUG
rnacentral:rRNA from 1 species